rnacentral:rRNA from 1 species
AACGAACGCUGGCGGCAGGCCUAAAACAUGCAAGUCGAACGGGUGUAGCAAUACAUCAGUGGCGCACGGGUGAGUAACGCGUGGGAAUAUGCCCUUCACUACGGGACAACGUCGGGAAACUGACGCUAAUACCGUAUAAUGACUCCGGUCCAAAGAUUUAUCGGUGAAGGAUUAGCCCGCGUCUGAUUAGUUUGUUGGUGAGGUAACGGCUCACCAAGACUACGAUCAGUAGCUGGUCUGAGAGGAUGAUAAGCCACACUGGGACUGAGACACGGCCCAGACUCCUACGGGAGGCAGCAGUUAGGAAUAUUGGACAAUGGGGGAAACCCUGAUCCAGCCAUGCCGCGUGUGUGAUGAAGGCCUUAGGGUUGUAAAGCACUUUCGUUGGGGAUGAUAAUGACCGUACCCAAAGAAGAAGCCACGGCUAAAUUCGUGCCAGCCGCCGCGGUAA